AAGACUUUAAGUUAAAUAAACUAACAUCCUUCAAAGUUGUCAAAAAAAGUAUUCUUUUAAGUCUUA
rnacentral:tRNA from 2 species